UACGAAGGGGGCUAGCGUUGCUCGGAUUUACUGGGCGUAAAGGGCGCGUAGGCGGACAGUUUAGUCAGAGGUGAAAGCCCGGGGCUCAACCUCGGAAUAGCCUUUGAUACUGGCUGUCUUGAGUAUGGAAGAGGUAUGUGGAACUCCGAGUGUAGAGGUGAAAUUCGUAGAUAUUCGGAAGAACACCAGUGGCGAAGGCGACAUACUGGUCCAUUACUGACGCUGAGGCGCGAAAGCGUGGGGAGCAAACAGG
rnacentral:rRNA from 1 species